UGGCGAAUGCCGGCGGAACUACAGAGCUGAUAACUCCCUUGUCGCGGGUUCGAAUCCCGCCGCGCCAGCCA
rnacentral:tRNA from 6 species